rnacentral:misc_RNA from 1 species
UGUGUGCGACCAUGAAUCGGUAAACUCUGAGGAAUUAGCGAAUGGAUAUGGACUAGCUGUCCCAGAAGUGAUAAAUGGUCUCCCAUACGUAUAUUCGGACUUCUCAUGAUUUACGUGGAAGGUUUCUGGACCAUGCCCCACUCUCUCUUUCCAUUGGUCAUCCUUGAAAUACUGAGGUGAUUGAACCCCGGGACGUUGAAAGGCUUUAUCAAGCAUUACUUGUGCCAGUUGGCGUGGUGUAGGGAACUUGUUGUGUGAAAAACUAUGAGGUACUGGAGUCAACACGUUACAGCA